AUGCAGGUCGAACGGAAACGAUGGGAGCUUGCUCCCAGGCGUCGAGUGGCGGACGGGUGAGUAAUACUUAGGAAUCUGCCCAUUAGUGGGGGACAACCUGAUGAAAACCAGGCUAAUACCGCAUACCACUAUAAUGACACAUGUUAUAAUAGUAAAAAUUGAGGUGGUAGUAGAUGGGCAUGCGUAUGAUUAGUUAGUUGGUGGGGUAACGGCCCACCAAGACAUCGAUCAUUAGCGGGUCUGAGAGGAUGAUCCGCCACACUGGUACUGAGACACGGACCAGACUCCUACGGGAGGCAGCAGUGAGGAAUAUUGGUCAAUGGGGGGAACCCUGAACCAGCCAUGCCGCGUGCAGGAAGACGGCCUUCUGGGUUGUAAACUGCUUUUAUACAGGAGCAAAGAGUCCCUGCGGGGAAAGUUGAGAGUAUUGUAUGAAUAAGCACCGGCUAACUCCGUGCCAGCAGCCGCGGUAAUACGGAGGGUGCAAGCGUUGUCCGGAUUUAUUGGGUUUAAAGGGUGCGUAGGCGGUUUAUAAAGUCAGUGGUGAAAGUCUUCGGCUCAACCGGAGGAUUGCCAUUGAAACUUAUAGACUUGAGUACAGUAGAGGUAGGCGGAAUUUAUGGUGUAGCGGUGAAAUGCAUAGAUACCAUAAAGAACACCGAUAGCGAAGGCAGCUUACUAUGCUGUUACAGACGCUGAGGCACGAAAGCGUGGGGAGCGAACAGGAUUAGAUACCCUGGUAGUCCACGCCGUAAACGAUGCUCACUCGAUGUUGGC
rnacentral:rRNA from 1 species